AUAGAAAAUUUUAUGUUAAAACUAGUAACAAGAAGACAGACCUUCUCUUAAAUGUAAACGUAAAUCAUAAGGACAAACCACUGAUAUUUAACGCUCAAGAACCAGAAGUAAUAACCAACCAAGAAAACUUUACUUUAAUUAACGUUAACCUAACACAAGAGCAUUUCAAGAAAGAUUAAAAGAAAAAGAAGGAACUCGGCAAACUUUAACCUCGCCUGUUUACCAAAAACAUCACCUCUUGAUAAUAAUGAGAGGCCCAGCCUGCCCAGUGACCCAGUUCAACGGCCGCGGUAUCCUAACCGUGCGAAGGUAGCGUAAUCACUUGUUCUUUAAAUAAGGACUAGUAUGAACGGCAUCACGAGGGUUAUGCUGUCUCCUUUUUCCGAUCAGUGAAACUAAUUUCCCCGUGAAGAAGCGGGGAUAAAAUUAUAAGACGAGAAGACCCUAUGGAGCUUCAAACAACACAACAAAUGCCAAACAACUUAAAAAUUUCAUAACUCCAAAUUUACUCAGCAUUAUGAUUGUUAGUUUUAGGUUGGGGUGACCGCGGAGCAAAACACAACCUCCACAUUGAAAGAAUUUUAUUCUAAGCCAAGAACCACAACUCAAAGCAUCUAUAUAUUGACAUUAAUUGACCCAAUAAACUUGAACAACGAACCAAGUUACCCUAGGGAUAACAGCGCAAUCUACUUCAAGAGCCCCUAUCGACAAGUAGGUUUACGACCUCGAUGUUGGAUCAGGGUCUCCAAGUGGUGCAGCCGCUACU
rnacentral:rRNA from 1 species